rnacentral:rRNA from 1 species
UACGAAGGGGGCUAGCGUUGCUCGGAAUCACUGGGCGUAAAGGGUGCGUAGGCGGGUCUUUAAGUCAGGGGUGAAAUCCUGGAGCUCAACUCCAGAACUGCCUUUGAUACUGAUGAGCUUGAGUCCGGAGAGGUGAGUGGAACUGCGAGUGUAGAGGUGAAAUUCGUAGAUAUUCGCAAGGACACCAGUGGCGAAGGCGGCUCACUGGCCCGGUACUGACGCUGAGGUGCGAAAGCGUGGGGAGCAAACAGG